UUUCAAGUAUGUAGGGUUUUAUAGGAGAAAGCUGAUUCCUUAUAUAUGUAAAACCCUACAUACAUAUAUAAGGGUGCAGCUUUCUCCUAUAAUACCCUACAUACAUAUA